AAACAGCCUCCUAUGUUUUGAUUCUUUGGCAGUUUUGACCCCCCAAGGCAAAAUAAAAAUAAAAAAUUUGACACGUGGCACCUCACUUAGGGUGCCACGUCAGCGUUGACCGAGUCAACUCUGGACUGGGGGUUCAAAACUGCCAAAGAAUCAAAACAUAGGGGGCUGUUU
rfam:Medicago truncatula strain A17 chromosome 3, whole genome shotgun sequence.